rnacentral:rRNA from 1 species
CCACCUUUGACAUGGCAGGAAGGCUCCAGAGAUGGGGCUGUGCUCGAAAGAGAACCUGCACACAGGUGCUGCAUGGCUGUCGUCAGCUCGUGUCGUGAGAUGUUGGGUUAAGUCCCGCAACGAGCGCAACCCUUGCCAUUAGUUGCUACGAAAGGGCACUCUAAUGGGACUGCCGGUGACAAGCCGGAGGAAGGUGGGGAUGACGUCAAGUCCUCAUGGCCCUUAUAGGUGGGGCUACACACGUCAUACAAUGACCGGUACAAAGGGUAGCCAACCCGCGAGGGGGAGCCAAUCCCAUAAAGCCGGUCGUAGUCCGGAUCGCAGUCUGCAACUCGACUGCGUGAAGUCGGAAUCGCUAGUAAUCGUGGAUCAGCAUGUCACGGUGAAUACGUUCCC